UUCCUCUGCUGGGGCUGGGGCUGGGGCGGGCGGCGGCGGAGGGGGAGGCGAAGCGAAACGAGGCGGCAGCUCAGAGCUCGGCGCCGGGGGCAGAGCGCGGCCGGGAGGGAACCGCGCACACAAUCUCACGUUACACGGAACUUUGACACAAGGAAGCAACUUUACUGGACAUCAGCAUCGUUCUGACGACAACACUCUGUCUUCACUAUGGGUCACCAGAUUCUGGCAGGGUACACGAAACCUGAAUGCUGACCAUCCUACCAGAGCUCAAUAAAAAUUCACCUGUUUCUCUCCUAA